rnacentral:rRNA from 1 species
AAAGAAACCAACAGGGAUUGCCCUAGUAACGGCGAGUGAAGCGGCAACAGCUCAAAUUUGAAAUCUGGCGCAAGCCCGAGUUGUAAUUUGUAGAGGAUGCUUCUGGGCAGCGGCCGGUCUAAGUUCCUUGGAACAGGACGUCACAGAGGGUGAGAAUCCCGUAUGUGACCGGCGCGCACCCUCCACGUAGCUCCUUCGACGAGUCGAGUUGUUUGGGAAUGCAGCUCUAAAUGGGAGGUAAAUUUCUUCUAAAGCUAAAUACCGGCCAGAGACCGAUAGCGCACAAGUAGAGUGAUCGAAAGAUGAAAAGCACUUUGGAAAGAGAGUUAAAAAGCACGUGAAAUUGUUGAAAGGGAAGCGCUUGCAACCAGACUCCGCGGCGGUGUUCCGCCGGUCUUCUGACCGGUCCACUCGCCGCCGCGGGGCCAACAUCGUCUGGGGCCGCCGGACAAGACUGGAGGAAUGUAGCUCCCUCGGGAGUGUUAUAGCCUUCAGUGAUGCGGCGCGUCCCGGGCGAGGUCCGCGCUUCGGCAAGGAUGUUGGCGUAAUGGUUGCCAGCGGCCCGUCUUGAAACACGGACCAAGGAGUCUAACAUCUAUGCGAGUGUUCGGGUGUCAAACCCCUACGCGUAAUGAAAGUGAACGGAGGUGGGAGCUUCGGCGCACCAUCGACCGAUCCUGAUGUCCUCGGAUGGAUUUGAGUAAGAGCAUAGCUGUUGGGACCCGAAAGAUGGUGAACUAUGCCUGAAUAGGGUGAAGCCAGAGGAAACUCUGGUGGAGGCUCGCAGCGGUUCUGACGUGCAAAUCGAUCGUCAAAUUUGGGUAUAGGGGCGAAAGAC